CGGGGCGCGGGGGGUGCUGGCGGCGCGGCUGCCCCUCACCCCCUGCCCCCGCACAGCUCCUGGGGCACCUGCUGCUGGUGGCGAGCCAGACGGCGAAGGCGCAGGGGCUGUCGGACGGCUACCGCGUGGUGAUCAACGAUGGGCGGCUGGGCGCCCAGUCUGUCUACCACCUCCACCUGCAUGUGCUGGGCGGGCGCCAGAUGGGCUGGCCGCCAGGAUGAGCAGUGGCUGCCGAACCCAGCUCUGCAAUAAAGCGCCAGCUGCCAGGAUGGGGCCGCGGCCUGCUCA